rnacentral:tRNA from 1 species
GGGGUUGUGGCUCAGUGGUAGAAUGCUCAUCUAGCAUAUGUGGGGCCCUGGGUUUGAUUCCCAGCACCA